GUUCUGCCAAACACUGUGUUGUUAUAUUGGUGUCAAGCUUAUACAACAUACACAACACAGUCACACAGACUUAAGAAACAUUCACAGAGGACAACUGUUAGAUGACUACAUAUUCAGUAUGCAUAGAGCAGAUAAAGCUAAAAGCUAGAUGGCCCGAGGAAAGAAAGAACUUCUUCAGCCCGUCUGUUGAGCAUGCUAGUGACAAGAGUCUGCCACUAAACUUGCUCUUCCGUGUAGUGAGUGGGGGUCAUUUUGUGGUUUGUGUAUGUGUUUUUUUGUUGUGGAGAAAUAGAAACACAUUUAUAUGUAGGGAUAUUUCCAUUUUUUUCUUAUUUGAAAUUAUUAGGACAUGAAUACUCUCUGACUCUUACUUUGACAGAGCUCUGGACUAUUUGCAGGGAGUUGGUGACUUGUCCCAGCAGAUGACCCGGAUUUGGACCUCUUUGGGGUCCAAAGAUCUUUAUCUACAUGCAAAUCAACAUUUAAAGCAGAUAGAGAAUGGUUGAACAGGGCAUUGAUCUCUGUUCUGUCUUUUUAAUAAAAGUAUAUGGUGUUAGUGUUUGUAUGUGUAACAUGAAGGAAAAACACUGACUUUGUUGUUGUUCUCCUUCUCCCAUGCCAUUCCUGUUCAUCCUCAGUUUGGAGGUCCGAUGUGCUAAAUGUCAGAGCCUUCUUCAGGAUUUGACGUGCCUCCCUGAGAGGAAAAGCCACAAAACCUUCCCUGUGGGGCAGGGAGAUACAUUUCCCAUCAAGCUCUGAAACAUUGGCAGCCUUGAUGAUCUCAGAUUUUUCUGAAAUGAUGUAAAUAUUCACUGAAGAUGUUAUCACCAGUCGAUGUUCUGAGAGUCUUAAAGUGCUGCCAGAUAAUUUUCAUAUGGGAAGGCAGAGAAGGAGUCAAGGCAACCAUGCUGCUGAACUUCACCUGCCAGAUGGGUUAUGCAGUGUGUACAUUAUACACAAUGUUGUGUCUCCCAUAAAGUGUAGCAAAGUGCUGCACAAACGACUUCAGUAAAGUGUCAGCAUAAUCAGUGCGGUAGGAAAAUGUAGGGCUUGCUAAGAUGGAGAUGCCAGAGAAGAGAAGCAUAAAAUUCUGAUACAGGUCUUUGUCCAGAAAAUUGGCCAGCAUUACAGGUCCAGUGUACAAAAGAGAUUGCAGCUUUCUGGCAAACUCCACCAGAAUAUAAGGCCUCAUGGAUACCAAUUUGUUCAACUAUAGUUGCAGGGACACGGACAGUCAGAGGACCACGAAGCCACAUUUUGAGUAAGCGCCCAACGAUACCUAAGCACACAAGGUGCAUGUAAUCUAGGGGAAACUGUGACACCAUGCCAACCCCAGUACCCUCAGAUGCAUGUGGCCCUUCAUGGUGAUGUAUCUCAUCUAACCUGUCAUUGAAAGACUCAUCCGUCCUUAGUGCAUAAUCUUUACAUGGAAAACUCAUGUGGAAAACCUUUGUGUGGUAUAUGACUUUCUCAUGCCAAGUAAAAUGUAAACGUCAGACGAUGUUAUAGGGAACAUGCUUAAAGUUGCUGCCGAAACAAGGCUUUGUUGUUGCAAAGUGCCGGACGAGCAGAAAAUUAUUAUUUUUGAAACCGGCACAGGGCAGAAUAAAAGCUGUAACGUUACAUACCAGCCUCCUACAGUUCUGCAGCUUAAGACACAGUAGUCCAGUGUGUCGGAUACACAUUUCCAUGUUGUAAGAUUUAAAUAAGACAACAUAUCUAUCGCAAAUGUAAACACCUCCAUCAACGCAACAUCAUUCCCGUAUUGCCAAAGAGCUGCAUGGACACACAAAUCAGAUCCAAAAUGGCCAACUUCUGGAAUGAUGAUGCGUCGUGAAAACUCUCUAUCAAUAACGUUAGCACCAAGCUAGCACCAAGUUACUGCAAUGAAUUUAGGCUACAUAAUACAUUCCAAAAUUAAAACAACUUAACAUAGGACGUCCGGGAUAGAGCUCGAAUAUGGGGAAUGGUAAUUACAAUCAGGCACUGGUCUACUUUAUGCUACACAGGCUAUUCUGAAGCCUACUGUAAAGCCUUAUAAAAUGGCAACCAAAAUCCACGAACAUUUUACCAAAACCUUCGACAAAGCAGGUUACACCGAUAGAUUAUAUUUCAAUGACAGAUAUAACAUUAAUAAAAUAUAUCUUAACGUUACACUUACUUGGCAGCCGAACUUCACACGAAGGAAAUCCCGACUAAUUCCCACACGGCGUAUGUUAUCUAAGGGAGAUCCGUAUGUGAUCCGUUCUGGGUCCGCCGAUUAAAAGCGCAGGUGGGGCCGAUCCUGGAGGCGUGGACGAUCCUGUUAGCACAGCGAAAACGAAUCUGACAGUCAGGCGGAUCUGGUGGCUUGAGGGCAGGUCUGCCACGGACUCCUUUGCUGUGUGGGUAUUUAACCCACAAUGUCCAAUCCUUAACCUAGUUAAAAUUAUUUCUUCACUUCGAUUCCUUCCAGUGAUCUUACCUGUCCCAACCUUCUGUUGUAUCCUGUAUAAAUGUCUCCCUUUCUCCUCUCUAUCCCAACUACUUUGCCACUUUUUCAUAAUUUCCAUCCAGAUUUUUGUUUUAGCUUCUGCUUUACUUAUUGAGAUUGAUAUUUCAACAUCUUCUCUUUUACUGGCUUGUUUUGCCAAACCAUCUACCAUUUCAUUUCCUUUAACACCCACAUGAGCUGGUACCCAUGUAAAUUUUACCUUCACCCCCCAAUUGAGAAAUCCUUGAGUAACAUUCUAGUACCUCAUAUACUAUGUCUUGUAUUGAUUGUGACUUAAAUGAUUGCAAACUCUUUAGGACUGCACUAGAGUCUGAGCAAAUUACAACUUUAUCUGGUCUUUUUUCUUCUACCCACUGUAGAGCCAACCAGAUACCCAUCAAUUCCACUGUAAAUACAGAUACUUGAUCAGACAGUCUCUUUAGGAAUAAAGCCCUAUUCCCAUUCCUUACUACUUCUCUACAUUCCUCUGUCCACCAAGGAACCACUUUCCUUCUCCUUAUUCCAGAGCUCUUAGGAAUAGUUUCAUCUGCCACCCCUUUAAUAAUUUCCUAGAAACUACUGUAUUCUCUAUCAAUAUCCAUAUCUCUAACCUCCCCAUCUAACCUUUCCUCACAUAGCUCCUUAAAUUUUGCCCAGUUUGCCUUACCAAACACCCAUCUCUUUCCUCCCUCUUCAGACUGUCUUUCCAUCCUCUUUUUAAUAGAACAUAAUAUAGGAAAAUGAUCACUUCGUACCGUUGAUUCCUCCCAUACCUCCCAUUCACAUAAUCUUGCUAUAUGAUUAGAAGUAAUUGUAAGAUCUAACGCUGACUCAUUUCCUGAUACCAUAUCAAUUCUUGUUCCUCUACCAUCAUUAAGACACACCAGCCCUUUUAAAUCCAACAACAACUCUAUCACCUGACCAUUUCUGUCCAUCUUCUUCCUACCCCAAAGUGGGCUGUGAGUGUUAAAGUCCCCACACCAUUCUACCUUUUGUCUAUCCUGUCCCUCAACCUCUUCCAUUGAAUUUAAGUCCAAUCUCCUACAUGGAUUGUAAAAGUUAAUUAUUGUUAUACUUUCCAUCCCUAUCCACACUUCCACCACCACAUAUUCCAACUCCUUUCCCAAUCCCAGAAUCCUAUAUGGAAGCCCCUGUCUAAUAAAUGUAACACACCCUCCCCCACCUCCUUCUUUUCUAUCUCGACGAGCCGCCACAUAACCCUGUAUCACAAAAUCUAAAUUUGGACUAAGCCAUGUUUCCUGAAUACAAAUAACAUCUGGAUUUUUCACCAUUCCAUCUAUAAAAGAUUUAAACUCUUGUCCAUUUGCUAUUAGGCUUCGGGCAUUCCAUUGUAUUAUUAACAACAUAAUUAACCAACCAACCCAUGUUUCCUGACUAGACUGUUGUUUAAGAUCAUCUCUGACUAUUUCCCAUGUCAGUCCUGUUAUAUCCAGAUGUCGUAUCCAGACUGCUGAUUGGUCAGAGAGAAUCGUCACUAUUCACUGCGUCAUCAUUGCACGCGCCAGACGGAGUAUCCUGAAUAACCCCACCAGCAGUGUUUCGUUUUGCUGCCCUCAACCUCUCCAGAAACAACGUUUGUCUUCUUGCUGUGAGAAACAGCCACAUCCCGAGGAUCAAAAACAGCAUACACUCGAUUUCCUCCAUUGUCCUGUGUGUGUGGGUAGCGGGUGUGUUUCGCGUAGAAGAUUAUGUCAAGGCAGUUUCCAGUGGCGUCGCUAUGACAACCAGGUACUAUUGUGGAGGUAUAAUCUGCAAUGGAAAAUGGAGCGAAAAGCGAGCCGAGUCGAGUCGAGUUGAGCUGGUACUGGUAAUGGAAAAGGGCCAUUAGUUUCCUUCCCUGAUCAAUUACAACCCUGUCAACCUGAAAUUGCCCCAAUCUUUCCAGCUUGAGGGCCUGAUCUCUCUGACCCACAUCUUUACACAUAAUCAGUAAACUUCCAUUUCUUAGCACCCUUGCUGCUAUUAUAUCUCCAACCGCUUUCUUUAAUGCCACAGGCAAUCUAACCAGAUUUACACCUUUCACUCCACCUCCAUCCUUAAACUUAAUGACUGCUUUAAACUCCUCAUCAUCUCGUUCUUCUAAAGUACACACAUCACUCUCAUGUCCACUCAAAUCCGAGUUACUGAUAAUACCUAGUGUAUUUGCCUUCCUUUUCUUUUUCUUUUUCUGAUUUUCAUUUUUACUCCUUAUCUGCUUUCCCUUACCACUUUUCUCCUUAUCUCAUCCUCUUCCAUCUCCUUCUCCCAUCUCUGGUCCAGUCACAGUACAGCUGUGCCAAACCGCCAUCUCUCUCUCUCAAAAUCCCGAUUGUUCGCUCUCUCGCGACUCACGCCACACCGAACCAAAGCGGAAGUCCCAACUCCAACCUUCCCCUCGGCUCCUGUCGAGUUCCGCCAGACCACCUAAUGUUCUCUCUUGCCUUACCUCCGUUAAAUGAGAAACGAACCAGGGAAAAAAAUAAAAUAAAAAAUAAAAAAUUCACAUGUCAAAGAAGGUGGAGUUUCAGAACACACCCACCGAUUGCGUAACCGCCACUGACCAAUAGAAACUCAAAGGUGUUUAGGAGCUGAAGCGAACUCCCCCAGAAAGUUUGCUUUGGUCAGCUGUUUUGAACUGUCGAAACAAACUCAAAGUGAACUUGAUUUCAGCCUG